rnacentral:rRNA from 1 species
CGGUGUUCAACUGGCGUGUCCGCGGGACGUCCUGCCGGUGGGCUUAGCCCGCAAGGGCGGCCCAACUUCAAAUCCCAUCGCGGUGCUCUUCACUGAGUGUCGAGGUGGGCCGGCACGUUUACUUUGAACAAAUUAGAGUGCUUAAAGCAGGCUAAAACUUCGCCUGAAUACUGUGUGCAUGGAAUAAUGGAAUAGGACCUCGGUUCUAUUUUGUUGGUUUUCGGAACCCCGAGGUAAUGAUUAAUAGGAACGGAUGGGGGCAUUCGUAUUGCGACGUUAGAGGUGAAAUUCUUGGAUCGUCGCAAGACGGACAGAAGCGAAAGCAUUUGCCAAAAACGCUUUCAUAGAUCAAGAACGAAAGUUAGAGGUUCGAAGGCGAUCAGAUACCGCCCUAGUUCUAACCAUAAACGAUGCCAGCUAGCGAUCCGUCGACGUUCCUCCGAUGACUCGACGGGCAGCUUCCGGGAAACCAAAGCUUUUGGGUUCCGGGGGAAGUAUGGUUGCAAAGCUGAAACUUAAAGGAAUUGACGGAAGGGCACCACCAGGAGUGGAGCCUGCGGCUUAAUUUGACUCAACACGGGAAACCUCACCAGGCCCGGACACCGGAAGGAUUGACAGAUUGAGAGCUCUUUCUUGAUUCGGUGGGUGGUGGUGCAUGGCCGUUCUUAGUUGGUGGAGCGAUUUGUCUGGUUAAUUCCGAUAACGAACGAGACUCUAGCCUGCUAACUAGGCGUAUUUUCGACAUCUCAAAGGUCCGUCGUCCCGGCCCUCGGGUCGUGGGCGUGCGCGAUUUUUACUGUCGGCGUACUAUCAAUUCUUCUUAGAGGGACAGGUGGCUUCUAGCCGCACGAGAUUGAGCAAUAACAGGUCUGUGAUG